ACCAGAAGGUGCGUAGCCCAUCCCAGAGAAGCCAAAUUCCAGCCACUCCUCUGCAAACUGCUGGCCCUUGGGAGCAGGGUGUGGUUUGCCUUUGGUUUCCUGCCUGAUUGGAGAGGAAUGCUGCCAGGACGUGCGUGAGAAUGCCAUGUCUCCAUUAAGCAGUCACUCUCUGUUUAGACAAUCACUAAUCCAUGCCCCAUCUUUGUGGCUUUACCUAUUCUGGAUAUCGUAUGGAAAUGGGAUCUACAGUGUGUGGCCUUGUGUGUUCUCUGAGCAUGACCUCAGGCUCCUCUGCGUUGUGGCUAUGGUGCGUUUGGGACCUGUCACAGUGGACUAUGCUACUAAAGCCUGGGGACCCCCAAGAAACAGUCAGUGUCAUGAUAGCUCCUGGUUUCGGCAACCUGACCCUGCAUCUGGACUAGCAACAGCAGCCGCAGCUGGCCUAGACCUGUCCUGGGAGGUCCCAGAGACUGGUUCCCAGUUCUCUCUGACGCCUCAACUGAGGAAACCACUGGAAUCUCAUUUGUAGGGGAAUUUGGCCCCAGAGCCCCCUCCCCACCCCUUCCUCACUCCCUAGUGGGAGAGCGCCA